rnacentral:lncRNA from 1 species
UAAAGGUGUAGAGACAAAGUGAUAGAGAUAGAGAUAGAGAGGGAGAGUAUAAAUAGUUGAUAAGGGAUAGUCCAAUGUUGAGUUUAACUCCUAUUUAUAGUGCAAGUUCUUGGACCAUGUGUAGAAAGUUGGAAAGGAAAUAGCUACAUGUUAGGCAUGGUCAAAGCAUAAAUGGUGCAUUGUCUUGAAAGUAGUCAAAUCAAUAACUUUAAUCAUGUGAUCAGAUCAAUUGACUUGGCUUGAAUCUUGGUGUAAAUAAUGCAUUUGGUUAAAUCAAUUACCUUUAUUUAUGUGGUCAAAGCAUUUACUUCGCUUUAAAUAUAGUGAAUAAUGCACGUGGACAAAUAAAUCAUCUCUAAUCAUGGCUAAUUGACAUAUUUACAUAUAAUUUCAUUUAACUUCCAAGUUAACUCUUCACUUAGGUCCUCAAACUAUUGGCUAGUAAGUAUUAAAGUCAUUUAUCUAGGUCAAUAACCAAUAAGGUCAUUAAACUUUAAUAAUAGCGCAC